CCUACGGGAGGCAGCAGUGAGGAAUAUUGCACAAUGGGCGAAAGCCUGAUGCAGCAACGCCGCGUGAGCGAUGAAGGCCUUCGGGUCGUAAAGCUCUGUCCUCAAGGAAGAUAAUGACGGUACUUGAGGAGGAAGCCCCGGCUAACUACGUGCCAGCAGCCGCGGUAAUACGUAGGGGGCUCGCGUUAUCCGGAAUUACUGGGCGUAAGGGGUGCGUAGGUGGUUUCUUAAGUCAGAGGUGAAAGGCUACGGCUCAACCGUAGUAAGCCUUUGAAACUGGGGAACUUGAGUGCAGGAGAGGAGAGUGGAAUUCCGAGUGUAGCGGUGAAAUGCGUAGAUAUUAGGAGGAACACCAGUUGCGAAGGCGGCUCUCUGGACUGUAACUGACACUGAGGCACGAAAGCGUGGGGAGCAAACAGGAUUAGAUACCCGGGUAGUC
rnacentral:rRNA from 1 species